rnacentral:rRNA from 1 species
GCCGGCAGCCAUAUCACCCUGUAGCCCAAGACUGGUUGCCCACUGAAGCUAACCAGGGCUAAGCCUGGUCAGUAUCUGGAUGGGAGACCUCCUGGGAAAACUAGGUUGCUGCUGGAA